AACGAACGCUGGCGGCAUGCCUAACACAUGCAAGUCGAACGAGACCUUCGGGCCUAGUGGCGCACGGGUGCGUAACGCGUGGGAACCUGCCCUUAGGUUCGGAAUAACUCCCCGAAAGGGGUGCUAAUACCGGAUAAUGUCUCCGGACCAAAGAUUUAUCGCCUUUGGAUGGGCCCGCGUUGGAUUAGCUAGUUGGUAGGGUAAAAGCCUACCAAGGCGACGAUCCAUAGCUGGUCUGGGAGGAUGAUCAGCCACACUGGGAGUGAGACACGGCCCAGACUCCUGCGGGAGGCAGCAGUGGGGAAUAUUGGACGAUGGGCGAAAGCCUGAUGCAGCAAUGCCGCGUGAGUGAUGAAGGCCUUAGGGUUGUAAAGCUCUUUUACCCGGGAUGAUAAUGACAGUACCGGGAGAAUAAGCUCCGGCUAACUCCGUG
rnacentral:rRNA from 1 species